rfam:Scleropages formosus scaffold20770, whole genome shotgun sequence.
CAAAAGGCUCUUUUAAGAGCCACUCACAAAACUGAAAAGGGCUCU